rnacentral:rRNA from 1 species
GACGGACGCUGGCGGCGUGCUUAACACAUGCAAGUCGAACGAGAUCUUCGGGUCUAGUGGCGCACGGGUGCGUAACGCGUGGGAAUCUGCCCUUUGGUUCGGAAUAACAGUUGGAUACGACUGCUAAUACCGGAUGAUGACGAAAGUCCAAAGAUUUAUCGCCAGAGGAUGAGCCCGCGUAGGAUUAGCUAGUUGGUGUGGUAAAGGCGCACCAAGGCGACGAUCCUUAGCUGGUCUGAGAGGAUGAUCAGCCACACUGGGACUGAGACACGGCCCAGACUCCUACGGGAGGCAGCAGUGGGGAAUAUUGGACAAUGGGCGAAAGCCUGAUCCAGCAAUGCCGCGUGAGUGAUGAAGGCCUUAGGGUUGUAAAGCUCUUUUACCCGGGAUGAUAAUGACAGUACCGGGAGAAUAAGCUCCGGCUAACUCCGUGCCAGCCGCCGCCGUAA